ACGCUCGACACCUACGGAAGGCAGCAGUGGGGAAUAUUGCACAAUGGGGGAAACCCUGAUGCAGCGACGCCGCGUGAGUGAAGAAGUAUUUCGGUAUGUAAAGCUCUAUCAGCAGGGAAGAAAAUGACGGUACCUGACUAAGAAGCCCGCGACUAUCGCNCGCAGCCGCGGUAAUCUGAGGCGGCGUGGCGAAGGC
rnacentral:rRNA from 1 species